AUGGACCAGGAGGUGCAGACGGACUUGGUGUGUGCUGCGACCAUGGAGGAUAAGGAGAAGCAGGCGAUGAUCCAUCACUGUAGGAUGGGGCAUGUAUUUUUUGAUAAGAUGAGUAGAAUAUUUCCGGAUGUUAUGUGUGGAAUAGGCAAAGGCAAGCUGACAUGUGAUGCUUGUGAAUAUGCAAAACACACACGGGCCUCAUAUGUGAGUAAGGGGCUCAGGAGCAUAUCUCCUUUUAUGCUUAUUCAUUCGGAUGUAUGGACUAGCCCAGUGGUGUCAAUGAAUGGGAAGAAGUAUUUUGCUACCUUUAUUGACUGCUAUUCUCGCAUGACUUGGAUUUACUUGAUGCGUCACAAGGAUGAGGUGUUUAGCUGUUUUCAGAACUUCCAUGCUCUUGUAAAGAACUAG
rnacentral:rRNA from 1 species